CACGUAGGGCGCAAGCGUUGUCCGGAAUUAUUGGGCGUAAAGAGCUCGUAGGCGGACUGUCACGUCUGCUGUGAAAAGCUGGGGCUUAACCCUGGCCUUGCAGUGGAUACGGGCAGACUAGAGGUAGGUAGGGGAGAAUGGAAUUCCCGGUGUAGCGGUGAAAUGCGCAGAUAUCAGGAGGAACACCGAUGGCGAAGGCAGGUCUCUGGGCAUUAACUGACGCUGAGGAGCGAAAGCAUGGGGAGCGAACAGG
rnacentral:rRNA from 1 species